CAUGCACCUGAGCUCCCAUGGUUGGCCCUGCCUUCCCACCAGGUGCUCAAUCACUGUCUUAAGCCCUGACUUAGCCUUUCCUCUACACUAUUAAAUUCCUAUUUUAAACAAAACUAUGAUAUAACAAAUAUUUAAUGCCUGACUUCCUGUUGUAUCCAGUUUAAGCUUUCUUAAAAUAUAAGUCUUUAUGUUCUUAAACCACAGUAUUGCAAAUGGAAAAUCAGUGCAGUCUUAGUAACCAGGAUGCUGACCUGAAAUUACUUUUAUAUACUGUUUUAUCUAAUAACAUAACGCUUGCAAUAUUGUACCUUUGCACGCAUAUGGGUUUUGCUCUCUUUUCCUCCACAUGAUUGACACAUUUAAUCAACCUCAAAUAACAUCUUAUUGCUUUAUAUCUUUUUCCUAUGACAUUAUAAAUCUCAAAGCUGGUAGGGAUUUGUGUUGUUUUUGUGAAUACCCUAACAAGAAAGAGGAGAAGAAUUUAGCCUCACAAUGAGAGCCCACAGAAAAUUGGAAGGGAUAUUACAAAGAAUUUUCUUGUUUUCCCCAGAAUCUAUCAAAACUGCAGGUGUAAUAGAACGAGGGGAAAAAAGAAAUUCAAAUAAAGAAAUAACAGUUGUACUGAAAGUGACCGAUAAGUUGAGAAGGAUGAGAUUUGGGUGGGAAGCUAAGGGAGACUUUAGUAAGGUUAAACUCAGGAAAUGAAAUCACUGAAUAGAGAGAGACAAGGAUAAAAACUGAAGAAAGGUGCUUCAGUGCACACGUGCACAUACGUGAAUUCAGCAAGCUUAAAUAUAAAAAGGAGAAAUGUGGGAUGCUGGAGGCGUAGAUAAAGGAAAAUACUGUUGUUUCCAGAAAGCAAUGCUUGCUUUUUUGAGUAUCAAAUGUGCAACAGAGUGGACUUCUUUAGCAAAAGAGCUAAAGAGAGCAGAAUUAAAGGGAGGACUGAGCACAAGGAGCAUGAGAGAAAAUGAUAGAGUAAAAGAGAAUGUACAAGAAACUUCAGUACCUGCAACUACCAGGAGUGACAAGGGAGUCCUGAGAGACAGGAAGCUCGUACCAGACUUUGUAUGUAUGUUACUGGCACUCACAAUCAAAGCUUCAGCAUCAAGAAUAGAUAAAGGUGAUGUACAGAGGACUGCUAUGGCCAUAGUAAUUGCUAUAAAAAGGAUUGUCAGCAAGUAAAACUAACAGCACUUCCUGAACUGAGGAAUGAACAACAUAUUUUAACGUUCAAGAAAUCUUUUCAGGCAGAACUUUGCCCUGAGGAGAGAAGUACUACAUCACCCUUACAGAGAGAACUGGAACAAUUUCUCUACUACUGCUCUCUAAAAGGGGCUCCACUCCUCAUCUACAUCCUGAGGACUUUUAUCAUAUUCCUAUUGCUUACAUGUAUUUAAAGAAACAAAAAACCAAAAAUCAUCCAACGACCAUAACCAGAUUGAUUCCUUUCUCAGUGGAAAAGAUUAAAUACGGGAUACCAAAAGAUCUCUCCCAAAGAUUUUGCUUUGCUGUUUUUUAACUGAAAACAGAAUGAGAGGCAAAGAAGAAAAACAAGGAAAGUGACUGGCAAAAGAGAAACCUUGAGUGCCAAAAGCAGAGAUGACUCUUUUCCAUUUGCCCGCCCAUUAUCAGUUCUCAAGUUACCAGAAACACCUCGAAAAAGGUGUCACAUCAUAGCCCCAAGAGAAGAUGGAGCUGUCCUCGGUGGAGGCAGCUGCAUGACUCGGACAAGCAGACCAUGAAUUCCCAUCAUCAGUUGGAGUAACAGAAGGGUAAUCCCAUUCCUCAGAGAUUUCACACUCAAUGAGAUGCACAUGUUGUGGGGGGGAAUAAAGAAGAAAAAAUAAAACAGAGGCCAACCACACUAUCACAGAGAAACAGAUAAGUAGGCUUUUCCUUUUGUAAAAAGAGAAAAAAAAACAACAAACAAACAAACAAAACAAAACAAACCCUGAAUUGUAGAACAUUCUUAGUUGGAAGGGACCUGUAAGGAUGCAGUCCAGUUCCUGGUAUUGAAUAGCUCUUUGCAAUGCUUCUCUAGAAGUUUUCAUGGGGUACAUUAUUUAUUCAAGGAACAUUUAUGCGGAAAGCAUAGCAUGCAUUUAGUUGUAUUAGUUUUGACUCCUGAUGGCCUUGAUGAUUGUAUGGUAACUGUUGAGUCACGGCCUCAACCACUGAUUGAGCAUCUGGGGAAAGGAUCAGGGUUGCUCUGGGAGCACAGGUGAAGGCAAUUCGGCUGUGUGACCGGAAGGGGUGGAGCCUGGCUGCACCUCUCUUAGACCCCAUUUAAGGGCUGACUGCCAGCGAGGAAGGAUCUCUUUCUGAAGGUCCCUCCUUGGUGAAGGUUUUUCCUGCAAUCCUAGGAUCUUCUGUUAUGAAUUAGAUGAGCCAGGCUAUCUGUGAGCUAAGAGCAGGGCACAACUAUGCACUGAUGCCUCAAAAAGAGGCUGUAUUCUGAAAUGAUACCUUGCUGAGGUGAAACCUAAAGGCUACUACUGAUAGAAGCAGCUGACUUCCACCUGAAGUGGUUCUGCCUCAAGCGGUGACUCCUGGGAACAGGGUGAGUGCAAUAGCAGGUGGCCUGCUACAACCUGUUGGGUACCUUUUUCAACUCCCUUGCAUCUCUAGCUGCUGAAAAUUCAAGUUUUCUGGCUGUUGUUGAUGAGAUCAGGUCUCAAGGCUUGCCCUGAUCAACAGCAUGGUUUCUAAGCAUACUGCUAUAUAGUACCUUCUAGUCAGGAGCCCUCUGUUGUUAGGCUGAGAUCUCUGUGAGAGUUUGCAGCCUGUGCCCAUGGUUCUGCUGGGAGGUUCUCCUGAGGCACAUCGCCAGCUGAAGGGAAACUUUCAGUGUUGCUGGUAUUAAGGAAAAAAAGAGGUAUUCAAUCAAACCUGGAGACAUCCAGCACUGUGGAUGGGGCCCUGGAUCUCUGCUGUAUUCAGUUAUUUUCUUAUCAGCUGUGGUAAAGCUGGUACUCUUUCAGCUGGAAGCUUUCCUGGGGCAUUGCACUUAGUGGGGAGCACUGCCUUUAUAAGCUAUUGCAAUACUUGUGGAUUCUGGUGAUGGUUCCCUGCUGGGAUGCCUCACCUACCCAUGGCAGGAGUUACCUUUCUUCCUGCCCUUCAAUACUCCAGUGGAAAUGGCAACAAUAGUUAAAAAGGAGUGUUUGAGGUUUGCAAUGCUCUUAAUGCAGUGUUGCAAUUUGGUGGCACGGCUAUCCUGAGAAAAUCCAGGCCUCUUAACACCAAGUGCACAGCAGGCACUGUGGCAGUGCUGAAGCAGCACCCGUUGGUGGUGGCUGCAGCAGUCCAGGCUUUCUACCUGUGGGAUCCCAUUGAUCUGCAGGCGUGUUGCUCUUUUCACACCCUUCCCUCAGAUGAGCAUGUGAUGACCAUAAUUAAGUGACAAGCUGCAUUAGAGAAAUCACUUAAGUUCUGUGGGAAAUUACUUAAGGCUUUAUACUGUUUUAAAGUAUAUACCUUUUUGGCAUAAGUACUGUUUUGCAUUUUUAAUGCAUUAUGUUGAAUGAAGUUCACGUUUAUUUAGAGACGCUGGGAACCUGGAAUAUUCUUUGUGAAGUCUGAAAAGUGACUCAUCUUAGGCAAAUAUAUGUAUCUGAAAUACUAUCUCAGAUAAGGUCAGUACUAUUGGUGACUUAAAGCAAAAUUUGGAUGGAACUGUUGGAAAAUUGAUGCCCAUACAGAGCACAGUUACAAUGUGUGAGAAUUUUUCUCUUGCUUUGGCCUUUUCAGGUUACAUUCACCAAGUGUUUGAAUGCACAGCUUGUACAGCAGAAGUUUGCCCCAGGCAGGAGCAAUGGAUACACGCUGCUCCUUUUGUUCUGCCCUUAGUACAAAGCCCAUGAGUUUGGCAUGAAGCUAGUAAUUACUUUCUAUUGAUUUUUGUACUUAGUUUUGUUUGGGGUUUGGUCCGAGAGGUGGCCCUUUGCUUGUAGAUGGCCUGCUUUUACAGAGCGGCAUGAGCAAGCUGUCAGUUCUGAUUUUUCUGUAAAUGCAGUAUUGUGGAGGGCUACUUACAGAAUAGAGUACUCCUGUACUUCCACUCCCAACCAUUCCAAUCAGGGUUGAAGUCUCAAGGCUGGUACAGCCUGUGGCCAUGCCCUGCCUGUCAAAUUUGGCAAGAAGCAUGUAGAACUUGCUACAGUGUGUCUUUGCAGCACAGAGUAGAUGUAGGCAACAUCUGAAAUAGGAACAGCGUGGGACUUGUUUGCUGGAAAUGCAGAAGGCCCGGUGUGCCCUUGGUCUCUGCUCCAAGUAGAAACACAGCCACAUCUGAGACCAAGUUUUCUUUUCUGAAAUUGCCUGCCCUGAAGCUUGUGCCUCGGUGCAGCACAUUUGUAUAGGCUACACAGCUUAGCAGUUCAACAAAGAAUAUUAAUACAGUUACAGUAUUAGUGCUUACAUGAGCAGCAGUUGGUGAGCUAUAGGUCUCCUAUGGCUUGUUUUUUUAAUUACUUUCCCUGUAGACAGGCUUUGUACGUCAGGUUGUGGUAUCUUGCUUUGGAAGGUGGAAUCUCUCUUCCUGCAGCAGUAAUAAACCAUUUUGGUCUUGUAAUCAGCCUUGGUCUCUCCAUCCCAAAUGGCAGAACUGGAUGCUCAGUGAUAGGGAGAUCUUGAUGCAGUCGUUUAGAGCUGUGCUUAAAUUUCUCAUGUAUUGAGAAUAUCUUGUUGCAUCUCUUAUACAGGCUUGUGGCUUUGAAAUUGUGCUCUAAAUGCAGUAAAGCAUAUCCUGAUCUUUGAAGAGAAAUGUGUUCAAAGGCACCAUGUGGGAGAGAGACUUCAGUAGCCUGAAGGAAAAAGAUUAUUUUAAGGGAGAAAUAGAAGGCUCUGCAAAGUACUUGUAUUUGUUGCGUAUGGCAGAACAUUAACAGAUUGCUGGAAGUAAUAAGUCAGAAAGAGAGCAGAUCCUGUGCGGGUAUUCAGAAAGCACUGAGCACACCAAACUGAGUGCUGUAAUCUGGAAGCAAGCCUGGGUCACAUCAUGGAAGUGCAUGGAGUGAGGUGGGGAGAUAAGAGGAAGAAAGGAGUAGGGCUGGCAAUGGAAAUGGCAUGUUCCUGAGAUGAGAGAGGAAGAGAAACAUCAUGGAGUAUUGAAACAAUGGGAGAGAAAAUAGGAGUAACCACCAUAAAGAGAGGCAGUGAGGCAUAUUUCAAAGGAAACUGGAAGCAGGAGAGUUGCGGUUAAGUUCAAUUUUGCGUGACUUCAUCUAAAGGUCUGGCUGGGCUGGAGGGGAGGCACCAAUAAUGCUCCAAUCUGUACCAACUUCUUGUCCUGUUCUCCCUUCAAGUAUCUGUACUGAUGGCUUAGCGAUCUUGACAUUUGAAUUCUGGCCAAGUAAACAGGAAGGACUGAACCUAAAAAAGCAGCAGAUCCUUUCGUCUGCCUCCUCUGCUUUUCUUUCCCUUAAUCUUUGUCACUCUCAUCACAGACACGAUACCAUUUCAUCAGUAAAGCAAGACCAGUUCUCCAAGCAAGCCACAGACUUCUGGCACAGGAUUUGGGUUCCCGUUUGAGACCCUCCAUGAUUUCCUCCAGGCCAAACCAGCGGGCUUCCUCCAGUUCCAGGCUGUUCAUACUGAUCU